rnacentral:rRNA from 1 species
GUCCAUGGCCAUCCCAUCCUAAACACACUGGAUCUCAGCUGAUCUCAGAAACCAAUCAAGAUCGGGUCUGGUUAGUGCUUGGGUGGGAGCAAAGGAGACUAGGGGUCAAGGGAG